rnacentral:rRNA from 1 species
GUGCAGCAGGCGCGAAACCUUCGCAAUGCGGGAAACCGCGACGAGGGGACUCCCAGUGCCUACGCUCAGCGUAGGCUGUUCCCGAGCCUAGAAAGCUCGGGGAGUAAGGGCUGGGUAAGACGGGUGCCAGCCGCCGCGGUAAUACCCGCAGCCCGAGUGGUGGCCACUAUUAUUGGGCCUAAAGCGUCCGUAGCCGGCCCGGUAAAUGCCUGGGUAAAUCGUGAGGCCUAACCUCACGAAUUCCGGGUAGACUGCCGGGCUAGGGACCGGAGGAGGGAGAGGGUACUCCAGGGGUAGGGGUGAAAUCCUGUAAUCCCUGGAGGACCACCGGUGGCGAAGGCGCUCUCCUAGGACGGGUCCGACGGUGAGGGACGAAAGCCGGGGGAGCGAACCGGAUUAGAUACCCGCGUAGU